rnacentral:rRNA from 1 species
GAUCAUGGCUCAGGAUGAACGCUAGCUACAGGCUUAACACAUGCAAGUCGAGGGGAAACGACAUCGAAAGCUUGCUUUUGAUGGGCGUCGACCGGCGCACGGGUGAGUAACGCGUAUCCAACCUGCCCAUCACUUGGGAAUAACCUUGCGAAAGUAAGACUAAUACCCAAUGAUAUCUCUAGAAGACAUCUGAAAGAGAUUAAAGAUUUAUCGGUGAUGGAUGGGGAUGCGU